UAUAACGCGAUGAGAUGGAAAGUAAUCUUUGAGGCAUUGGUAGAGAGCUUGGGGUUGGUGAAACCAAGUAGUGAUAAGAAGAUGAAAAUGGCCAUUGAGUGGACUUUUUGAGCUUGUGAAGUAAGGAAAGUACGGGGCGCCCGUUAUAGCGACACGAUUUCAAAGAAGAAUCAAUGGAAUCGAUUGAGGUUUAUUCAGUGAUGAAUGAACGAAUAAAGGUGGUAACACGGUAUUAUUGAAAUGAUCGUCCUUUGU
rnacentral:ncRNA from 1 species